CCUACGGGUGGCAGCAGUGAGGAAUAUUGGUCAAUGGACGCAAGUCUGAACCAGCCAUGCCGCGUGCAGGAAGACGGCUCUAUGAGUUGUAAACUGCUUUUGUACGAGGGUAAACGCAGAUACGCGUAUCUGUCUGAAAGUAUCGUACGAAUAAGGAUCGGCUAACUCCGUGCCAGCAGCCGCGGUAAUACGGAGGAUUCAAGCGUUAUCCGGAUUUAUUGGGUUUAAAGGGUGCGUAGGCGGUCGGAUAAGUUAGAGGUGAAAUCCCGAGGCUCAACUUCGGAAUUGCCUCUGAUACUGUUCGGCUAGAGAGUAGUUGUGGUAGGCGGAAUGUAUGGUGUAGCGGUGAAAUGCUUAGAGAUCAUACAGAACACCGAUUGCGAAGGCAUCUCACGAAUCCGCGAUUGACGCUGAUGCACGAAAGCGUGGGUAUCAAACAGGAUUAGAUACCCGUGUAGUC
rnacentral:rRNA from 1 species